ACGGAGGGAGCGAACGUUGUUCGGAUUCACUGGGCGUAAAGGGCGUGUAGGCGGCUUGGUAAGUCAGGGGUGAAAUCCCGCGGCUCAACCGCGGAGUUGCCUUUGAAACUGCCGAGCUUGAGGCCGUGAGAGGAGACUGGAAUUCCCAGUGUAGCGGUGAAAUGUAUAGAUAUUGGGAGGAACACCAGUGGCGAAGGCGGCUCACUGGACCGGAACUGACGCUGAGGCGCGAAAGCGUGGGGAGCAAACAGGA
rnacentral:rRNA from 1 species